rnacentral:rRNA from 1 species
UCGAGAAUCUUCGUCAAUGGGCGAAAGCCUGAACGAGCGACGCCGCGUGCGGGAUGAAGGCCCUUGGGUCGUAAACCGCUGUCGAGGGGGAUGAAGGUCAUUGGGUACUCCCGAUGAUUUGACAGAGCCCAGAAGGAAGCACGGGCUAAGUUCGUGCCAGCAGCCGCGGUAAUACGAACUGUGCGAACGUUAUUCGGAAUCACUGGGCUUACAGGGUGCGUAGGCGGCCAGACAAGUCAGGUGUGAAAGCCCUCGGCUCAACCGAGGAACUGCGCUUGAAACUGUUUGGCUCGAGUCAGCUAGAGGUGCACGGAACUUCCAGUGGAGCGGUGAAAUGUGUUGAUAUUGGAAGGAACACCGGAGGCGAAAGCGGUGCACUGGGGCUGGUCUGACGCUGAGGCACGAAAGCCAGGGGAGCGAACGG